rnacentral:siRNA from 1 species
ACUGUCUGCUGGGUCCACAAUAUA